AGAGUUUGAUCAUGGCUCAGGAUGAACGCUGGCGGCGUGCCUAACACAUGCAAGUCGAACGAGGUAUUUUGAUUGAAGUUUUCGGAUGGAUUUCAAGAUACCGAGUGGCGGACGGGUGAGUAACGCGUGGGUAACCUGCCUCAUACAGGGGGAUAACGAUUGGAAACGAUUGCUAAUACCGCAUAAGCGCACAGUACCGCAUGGUACGGUGUGAAAAACUCCGGUGGUAUGAGAUGGACCCGCGUCUGAUUAGCUAGUUGGUGAGGUAACGGCCCACCAAGGCAACGAUCAGUAGCCGACCUGAGAGGGUGACCGGCCACAUUGGGACUGAGACACGGCCCAG
rnacentral:rRNA from 1 species